rnacentral:rRNA from 1 species
CAACGAAUCUUCCGCAAUGGGCGCAAGCCUGACGGAGCGACGCCGCGUGAAGGAUGAAGUCCCUCGGGAUGUAAACUUCAAUAGUUUGUCAGAAAACAAGUCGACCUAAUACGUCGGCGAGAUGAUCAGCAAACGAAAGGGACGGCUAACUCCGUGCCAGCAGCCGCGGUAAUACGGAGGUCCCUAGCGUUGUUCGGAAUCACUGGGCUUAAAGGGCGUGUAGGCGGAGCGGUAAGUACUUUGUGAAAUC